UGGGAUCAUCCUUGUUUCCUAUUAACUUUAAUCACACAAUUCAUAUUGCAUGUGUCUCCUUGAUAAGGAUUUCCUAGUAUUGAUCUUAUACCUUGUCACCUACGGUUUUGCAUUGGGUAGCUUAUGCUAGUGCUCCACUAAACCAUGAUCUUGUAAUUUGAUUAAAGGAAUAUGCAAUGAACAUUAAAAGAUUACUUUUUUGGCAACUUUGGAAAAGAGGGCUGGAGCAUUGGGCUAUCUUAUGGUGCUCUAGUUUCUCUCCAUAAGGACUUAUCUGUAUCUGACCAUCCGGGACAUACAGUACAACUGUGAGGGCUACAUGGCUCUGGCUUUAGCUCAGUAUGAGGACCUUUUCUAGCUUGUUAGUGGUUACCCUUGUGGCGCAAAUGGGGAAUAGCAGACCGUGGAUUCCUGCGGGUGAGUCACACGGACUGACUAACGAAACCUAGCGGCCCUAACUUGUUAGACGAACCUUUGAAAGGCUUCAUAGUGAACCUUACCGGCCUCCCUAGGAAGGGGGUUAAGAGACUCGCGACCUCGGGCGAAAGGGUAAAUCAUGACUCACAGUGAAAGUGUACAACCUCUGCAGAGUGUAAAACUGAUAUAUCAGCCGUGCUCACGGUCACGAGCGGCCUUGGACCAAUACAGAAUAAAUGAUCACUAAUGGCAAAUUAUUAAAGUUAUUGUUGUUAAUAUGUUGUUUAUGCUAUUCUUUAUUCAUUUUACCUGAUCAUGAGUUUACUUCGGGACUCGACAACUUGAUGCUACUCAUAUGCUAAAAUUGUGACAACUAAAAGCUACAUGCAGUUAAACCAGUGUCUAGCCUUUGAGCCUCAUGAACCCUAUGUUAUUCUUGUUGAGUACGAGAUGUACUUACGCUUGCCUUUAUAUUUUAUUUGGAUAAAAAUCCCGGAUGGGUACCAGAUUGCAAGCUUGGAAAAGAGUUUAGGCUUGUGCUCAACCAGUCAGUUGUCCCUGUGGAUUUGGAGCUUUCGCCUGAAGAACGGAGUGUCUUUCCGCUGUUUGCUAUCUAAGGUUAUAUCUUUUAUACUAAGUUCGUUACAUAUAAGCAUUGUCUAUUGAUAUUACCCCUAUUUGUGGCUAUAUGUGAGAUUUGACUUCCUGGGCUCACAUAUGGUGUGUAUCUGGUUUUGUUCUUAAAACUGGGUGCUACAAAGUGGUAUCAAAGCAAUGCUGACUGUAGGACGCAAGCCUAGUUAGAAAUUGGUCAUCUUAAGGUUUUGAAAUUGUUAUAACACCCUCGCUCUAUAAACCUUGGUAUUUUCCUCUAUACUAUAUCUCUACCCUUGCUAUUCCUUCCUACCUUGUUGCUUAUUUGAAAAAUCUUUGUUCUCAUCUUUACUCCUUGAUUUGGUAUGCUUUUAGAAUCUUCUCUUAUCUCUUCUUGUGUCUUCGAAAUAGAACUUUUAGGAUCUUUGCCCUUACUAUGAAGAGAACGAUAGUAUCGCAAGUUGCGUGAAGUGUGAACCUCUAAUGCUUAAUUGGUUGUUAUUAUGUUUAUGCUUGAUUUGGAUCUUUGUAAUGUGUGCAAUGAUUUUGUGGGAUUUCUCCAUAAUAUCAUUUAGUUUAUAGGCCUAAGGCAUAAGGAGUAGUGAAAUAAGUAGUUGGGUUUGGUUAUAUCCUGUUUCUGUUCCUUGCUGAUUUCUGGAGCAGUCUGCAAUAAUAUUGGUAUAUCUCAAGUUCUCAUCGUGAAAAGUUUGUCACCUUUUUCUGGGAACAACUAGAUUUCAAGAUCUUUGUCUGACCUCAAGAAUCACCCCAAUAGCUAUUCUGGAAUUGGAGUUAUGAAAAUCACAAGUUGAUGCAGUUGCGCUGUCCAGAAUCUGGACCAGUUUUGGGAACAUGCUGUUUGAGACAAAUAUAACUAUAGAAUUGGGAAAAGUGUUCUAUAGAAACGUUAUAGAAAAUUUGCUAAGAUUUCCAAAGGUAUAAGCUGGAACUUAUUUGGAUAAUGAGAACCUGAGAUAUGAUAUUUACAAUUGGAUGUUUGUGUUCUGUAUCAAAGUCUGGACAGUUUGGGUAUUCCCUAUUUUCAGCCAAGUUAAAUUUAGAAUCUGGGAAAAAGUUGUAUACUAAAGUUUUAGAGGAUUUCAUAAGCUUUUCAACAAUAUAAGGAUCGUCUCCAUAUGAUUUAUGUAGCUCGAGAUAUGACAGCUGCAAGUUACUGCAUAGGUGCUGAGACACUGUCAGGAGGAAUAUUAUGUAUGGCUGUUUUACCUAAGUUUCAAGACAGAACCUAAGGAAGUCUUCUAUAUGAAAGUUGUGGUGAAUUUCAUAAGUUUUCUAACGAUAUAAGCUACAACUCUAUUGGAUUCACAGAAUAAGGGUUAUGUCUGUUUUACUACGCUGGUGUUUUCAUAUCACAAGAAAAUUUCAGGAUACUUGUUUGUUCUCUUGCACAUAAGUUCAUUGGGAUGUCAGAAGGUCUUAAUGCUAGUCAACUUGACUGGAAAAAAGUGCAAGCUACCUUCCUUGUGUCCCCUAGUUGACCUUUCUUAAGAGGGUAGUCUUAUCAAAGGAGUUACAGGGAGAAGUAAUGGUUAACAUUGGAUCAUCGAUAAAGACCUCAAGUGUUUGGAAAAUUUGGUUUGAUACAGGAAAUUGUUCCAUUGAAGUGUGAUAAUAUGGAUGGAGGUAUAGGUCAUUGCUGGUACUCAUAGCUUGGAAGUGGUGCUUAUGAGAAUCAGGUGACACCAAAGGCUACAAAGUUAUACAUGGAAUAUGAGAGCUAGUCCAUACUGUGCCCCGACCUAUCUCAUCUUAUGGGGUAGUACCUUGAUAUGAUAGAUUAAUGCCCUUUCAAUUUACCAUGAAGAGAGAAGUUGUCUCUGGAGAUAUCCCAUGAUUAUAAUCUAUCCUGGCUCAAGUUAGUGAAAUUGGUCACUUGACAACUUAGGAAGUGGAUAUGCUACAUCUACUGUUGGUUCUACGGAGACUCAAAAGACUUCAUUGCUAAAGAGAGCAUGACCAGUUUGUUCUAGUUGAUGGAAGUUCUCAUCUAGGAGAUGUCAUCUUUAAUGAUGGACUUAAGAAAGUUAAAAAUGCAAGAGUUGGAAACCACCAAAGGAAAUUGAAUGAGACUUAGAGUUUUAUAGAUAUGGCAAGAGGCUAUCAUAGGUUUGCUGGGGCCAAAGUGAUCUUGACAUAAGAGUGAAUAAGAGAUUGACUUGGAAUGAUAAGAUUCUAUCAGUGGUUCACUGAAGGUGUUGUAAAGAUUGGUAAAUAGAGUUCCUCUAUUCCAUCGAGACCUUAGAUGUGCUCCAUACAAGAAAAGUAGUGGCUGGUGCAUAAGUCAACUAAGUGGGUUGGAUUAACUGACAUGAUGUGGAGGUAUCCAUAGUGGAGCAUGGAGAUACUAUCUUCUUGGUUAUAAGAGUGAUAUCUACGUAGAAUGUAAGAGACUAAAGGGCAUCUUUAGGAAGUUGGAUUUGAGCUGGUCACAUCAUUGAUGGAUUUGAGUGAAUCAAGAGUUAUGACUAGGAAAAGUGAUAUCACUUGAAUGAGAAAAAAAGCCUUUACGAAUGCUCAGAGCAUAAAAGGUGUGCUAGAGGAGUUCAAAUAACACCAAGUUUUGAGGAGUUCAGUGUUGAACUAGAGUGAUGUCACUAGUACUGCCAAAGGAGCUCUAUUAAUUACUCAUUUGAGAACCACAGGAACUGAAAAGAUUACUUAGAAGAUAUGUUGUGAGCUUGUGUAUUGCAGUAUGGUACAAAGAGUUUACCGUAUGCGAAGUUUUCUUAGAACAACAGUUAGAGCCUUCGGUGGGAGCCUUUUGAAAGCUUGCAUGGAUGUAAGUGUAGAACCCUAUUGAUUUGGAAUCAAACGUGAGAACACAAGUGUUUGGGCUAGAUGUUCUAAGAGAUGCAGAACUGCAAGAGUGUUCACGGAUGACUUUAAGGGUGGCACAGUCUCAACAGAAGAUAUAUGCUGACAACCGGAGAAAAGAAUAAGCUUUUGAAGUAGAAGACUAUAUGUAUUUGAAGGUGUCACCUAUGAGAAGUGUGAGAAGAUUUAAUAUGAAGGAAUGGUUAGCACCAAGGUAUAUCUGGCCUUUCAAAGUGUUAGAAAGAUGGGGUGAAGUGGCUAUUAGAGCAUCUGAAAGUUUGGGAGGAAUGCAUGAUGUUUUCCAUGUGUCUUAACUCAAGAAGUGUUUGUGUGUGCCAUAAUAGCAGAUAUCGUUAGAAGAAUUGACUAUUAAAGGGGAUCUUACUUAUGAAGAAUAUCCGGUAAAAAUUUUGGAAAUAGCAGAAAGAGUUACAGGAAGUCGAGUAGUCAAGAUGUGUAAAGUUCAAUGGAAUCGAUAUUACCGAAGAAGAGGCUAAUUGGGAAAGAGAAGAGGAUCUAAGAAAAACAUACCCGCAGUGGUUUGAGUAAGCACCAACUGAAUCUCGAGGACGAGAUUCAUCUUAAGAGGGGUAGAAUUGUAACACUCUAAAAUUUGCUCCUUUGAAGUAGAGUUUAAAAAAAUUAAUUAUGUAUUUUUUGUGUUCAUGAAAAUGUAGGAAAAAUAAUAUUUUUUAAAUUAAAAUUUAUCAUAAGGCUUAGCAAUAUUGUUGUGCAUACAUGCUGGUGCAUAAGAUUUAAUGUAAUGUUUGCUUGAUGCUCCUUCGUGUGUUGUGAGUGAGCAAAGUUUUAAAAAUACGUUUAGUAGAACGAUCGUCCUUGACCAGUACGUCUUUAUCUUUAUCCACAAUCAAAUUCUUUAUUUCUCAGCUCAAGUUUUUAUUAUGAGCUUCCUAAAAUCUUUUCUUUGUCACCUAAAUUCCUUCUUUUAGUUUCUCGUUCAUCAAGCACUAUCUGCGAUCUUCUUGGUAAUUUUCCAGCUUUUUGCUGGAACUUGUUCCCACUGCUGUGAGCAUAAUCUAGAUGCUCCAUAUUAUCUUAUCAGGCGCUCCAAAUACUUUAUUUGAGUUCCUCAUGUUCUAUAAUGUCUCUGAGAAUUUUCUCCGAAUUUUCAGAGCUUUCGGAAUAUUUUUCAUAGCUUAAAUAAUAAUUCUAGAUUUUUUUGGAAUUAUUUUAUCCAUGAAAUUAAAUAAUUCCGAAAAUAAUAAAUCUCUAUUCUUUUUCCAAUGCUCAAGGCCCAUGUCUUUAAUUACUAAUGGGUUUUAAUAAUUAAUUAGACCUAUUAGUAAAGAUGGAGGUUACAACAUCAAUUAGUACCAUAUUGCUAGUUGAUGUAAUUGUAGAGAGUUUUUCUCCCUAUAUAUGUGUACCAAUCCCUGGGGCAAUGUACACCAAAACUACAUGAAAAAGAUCUUCUAGUCUGGAAAUUGCCUUGAGGCCAUCGUUGACACGCUUCUUGGCUGAACACCGCACGUAGCUCAGCCCUGGUCCAGCUUCAUCCUCCAGGCUGCACCAGCCGCACCUCAUCUAGGUCCAGCCCCGCACUGCAUGCAAGCCGGGCAUGCAUGAGGAUCGAUCAAGUAGGACAGCUUUUGGCUAUGGAAAGCACCAUCGGCAUUGUUCCAUCGAGAGGAGCGGCGGCCUCACAGCUCAUUUACAUCGGGACGAGGAGCUAGGGUCAAGGACAAUCUGGACUAGGAGCAAGGAGUUAAGAAAGGCUGAUGGCUUCACGUCACCCUCUAUGAUUGGUGAGAAAACUAAUCUGAUCAUUAUCUCUUUCGGUCUUGCCUGCACGAUAGUAUGCACGUUGGCCGGUGUCACAAUUCUGACCGAGAAGUGUUGGGAACAACAGCUAGAAGAUGGAGAUGUUGUCAGAUCACGAGAAGCAUCACGACAUGAAUAAGUCACGCGCUUACAUCUAAGCGAUCAAGGAGGGCAAUCACGCACCCGUAGGGUGGCCAUACGAGCGGAACAGAUGUGAACAGACAGGCCGCUGGUGCCAUGACGCCCGGUGUCCACAACACAAAAGCUGAAGGCACUUGCGGACUAAAGGUGUGGCCAUCUUGCUAGCUCCCAUAUUUACAAUUUAAUUUAUCUCCUAGGAUGCACUAAACAUGACCGUUUCUUCGUGUCAUAUGGUUGUGCAAUAUUUAGCCAUCCCUUCUAUUUCUAAAAUUCAAUCAUGAACUUUAUAUAUGCAUGCGAACUAUACCUUUCCAAUGUAAAAGCAAUACAUGACAAUCCCAAUCUUUCAUAAUUAAUUGUCAAAUUGGUUAAUGGAAACAUGGAUAUGUUUUUCAUAAUUUGCUCAAUUUAAACACGGGACAAACCUAACUCAUUAAAAUAUUCACAUGUUUACCUUCUUUUCAUGAAAGAAGUUUAUUUGCUUAUAAAUGAUUCUCAAAACAUUUAUAAUAAAAUAUGACUAGACCGAACUCUAGUUUCAUUAAAAAUAUAAUUUAACUAAGUUCAUAAUCGAGCACAUGAUUUUGUUCUAAUAAUAAUAAUAAUAAUAAUAAUAAUAAUAAUAAUAAUAAUAAUAAUAAUAUAUACGCCUAGUCUUUUCUUUUAUAUAAAACUUCUAGUUUCCAAACAUUUUUAUUGAUUGGUGUAUUGCUUUAAUUUAGUCAACUUUGUUUGUUAUGCAUGUCUGCUCGGAUGGUUGUGUGGUGCCUUAUGAUCUUGUCCAGUCGGUGAGAUAUACGUGCGACUCAGAAGUAGAUCUUUGAAGGUUUGGACUUGAAGAAGGAUCUGAGUUUAAGGCAAGUAUAGCAUGGGAUCAUCCUUGUUUCCUAUUAACUUUAAUCACACAAUUCAUAUUGCAUGUGUCUCCUUGAUAAGGAUUUCCUAGUAUUGAUCUUAUACCUUGUCACCUACGGUUUUGCAUUGGGUAGCUUAUGCUAGUGCUCCACUAAACCAUGAUCUUGUAAUUUGAUUAAAGGAAUAUGCAAUGAACAUUAAAAGAUUACUUUUUUGGCAACUUUGGAAAAGAGGGCUGGAGCAUUGGGCUAUCUUAUGGUG
rnacentral:lncRNA from 1 species